rnacentral:lncRNA from 1 species
GCCGCUUCUGCAGCAUAUGGAGGUUGCCAGGCUAGGGGUCUAAUCGGAGCUGUAGGCACCAGCCUACGCCAGAGCCACAGCAACACAGGAUCCGAGCCACGUCUGCGACCUACAGCACAGCUCAUGGCAAUGCCGGAUCCUUAACCCACUGAGCAAGGCCAGGGAUCGAACCCAAAACUUCAUGGUUCCUAGUCGGAUUUGUUAACAACUGAGCCACGACAGGAACCCCCUGAUUUCUUACUAUUUAAGUUCUUUACCCUACUCUCACUGUCAAGCAAUGCAAUUAGCACAGCAUCUUAUGAAAGUCCAGCUGUCACUCACUAGACCUUAAGUCCUAACUCAGUUCAGACGAGAAAGUUCCUUUAAGACUCAGCAAUUAAUGAACUGCAGAAAUGAGAGGACUGUCUUAAAGGGAAAUAACUCAUAAAAAACACAAAUAAAGGAUCAUAAAACAAGAGACAAGCAUACUGUUUAUGAUUGGUUUAAAAUCUAAAAUUUUACUGGUUAUAAUUUUUACUUUCAUAUGUAUUUGUUGUGAGUAUAGGCUAGAGAAAGGCUGAAAAAUAUUGAAUAUACUAAAUUUUUAUUGCAGUUUUAUCUCUUGGAAAUUAUAAAGGGAUGUGAAGAAUAUUUUUUCUUUUGUGCCUUUUUUAGAAACCAUCCAGAAAACAAACAUAAAUUUCCAGAGCAGUUCCUUCUUUAGCCUUUGUAAGAUUGCCCCCUACUGGGAAUAUCAGGAAAUGAACUUUAAAAAAAAACAACCUUGCUUUUCAGGCCUUUCAAGACGUUUGACACUAGAGGGUUUCUGCUUUUUGUUUUUUAGGGCCGCACCCAUGGCAUGUGGAAAUUCCCAUGCUAAGGAUCAAAUUGGGGCUGCAGCUGCCAGCCUACGCCACAGCCGUGUCUUCAAACUACACCACAGAUCAUGGCAACACCUCAUCCUUAUCCCACUGAGUUGGUUACUGCUGAGCCACAAUAGGAAAUCCAAGAGUUUAUUUGUUUUUUGAUUUUUGGUUUUGUUUUGUUUUGUUUUGUUUUGAGAUAGAGAAAGAAAAAAGAAGAGAAAAAAGAACCAGUUUAAAAGCACAAACUUAAAAAAUUAAAAUUUUCUUAUUUAAAUAUGGUAUUUGUUUCCAGAAAGUCUCUAGUUUUAUAAGGCAUAAAGAAGAAAACUAGUAGGAGUUCCCGUCGUGGCUCAGUGGUUAAUGAAUCCUACUAGGAACCAUGAGGUUGCAGGUUCGAUCCCUGGCCUUGCUCAGUGGGUUAAGGAUCCGGUGUUGCCAUGAGCUGUGGUGUUGCUCGCAGACACGACUCGGAUCCCACGUUGCCGUGGCUGUGGUGUAGGCUGGCGGCUAUAGCUCCGAUUUGACCCCUAGCCUGGGAACCUCCAUAUGCUGAGGGAGCAGCCCAAGAAAUGGCAAAAAGAGACAAAAAAAAAAAAAAAAAGUCACUGUUUAACAUUAGCAUCAUAAACUCAAAGUCAAACUAGCUGCUGGCCUACACCACAGCUCACAGCAACGCCAGCUCCUUAACCCACUGACUAAGGCCAGGGAUGGAACCCGCAUCCUCAUGGAUACUAGCCCAGUUUGUAACCUGCUGAGCCGCAACAGGAACUCCUUAAAUGAUUUUAUAUGACCAGAAUUCACAGCUGAAAAAUAAUCACCUGGUGAAUCAAUAACUAUGGUACAUCCAUACAACAGAAUACAAGCUACCCACAAAUAAGGAUGGACACAAAAACACCACAACUGAAUUUCAAGACCAUUAUGGUGAACAAAAGAAGCCAGCUACUUUGGUCUUUGGUCUGUAAAAAUCAAGGCAAUAAUAGUGCCACGACUAUUACCAGGAUUCAGUGAGUUAAUUCACAUGUUUCAUAUGAUAAGCAUUAACUAAAUGGUAUAAUUAUAGAAAGGGAAAAAAAAAAGUCACUCUACAACUAAGGAAAUGAAUUUUCAGACUUCCUCCCAGACCCCCAGACUUAUUCUUUUCCUUCUCUUCAUGGAAACUCCCAAACAAUUCCAAUUUUGAAAAAGAAGUGUACAAUUUUCUUUUUUGCCUGAAGUAUUUCUCUUUAGCUGACUCCUAAGAGGCCAGAUUUUUCUUACAGGACUUAGUGGGAUAAUAAUAUAUAUCCUCCUACACCACAAGCUGUGAUGAGCAUCAAAAAGAGCAAUUUCUGUGAAACAGCUUUGUAAUCUGCAAAUCAUGUCAGAAUUGUAAGAGGCUACUGUUAAGACCACUUGCUCAGAUUGAAGGGGAGGAUUCUCAAAGCAAAUACAAGCUAUAGAAAGCAGGUUCAAGGAGGUUACUUGUGGCUCAGCGGGUUAAGGAUCCAGAGUUGCCACUGCUGUGGCUCUGGUUACAGCUGUAGCGCAGGUUCUAUUCCUGCCUGGGAACUUCCAGCCUGCCUGCCAUAGGUGUGGUUAACAAAAACAAAAAGAAAACCCGGUUGAGGAAAACCUUAGGACUCCUGAGGUAUAUCAUUCCAUUUUCAGGGGUUUUUUGUUUUGUUUUUUUCCUUCCUUUAACAUGCAUGGUAAAAUUUUUAGAAAAACCUCAAGUAAAUGCAAUGCUUUACACACAUGCAAUAGCCUGCAAAAAGUAAAUAUUUAAACUUUAUAUAACAUGCAAACACAGAGGCACUAGGCCUCUUGGAAACAAUUUCUGCACUCUGGUUUUCCUCCAAAUUAAAUUAACUGUGGGUUUGUAGUUGCUAAAAGAUGUCACUGCUUAUGUUUAACUACACAAAUACUCUUAAACAAAAGCAAGUUUUUUUGUUUUUGUUUUUGUUUUCAAAAUCAUGGAAACAGACUUGUGAAUAAACCAUACUGUAAGACAGUCCACAAAGAGGUAGUGGGGUCUAACAGAUAGAAACUAGAUGGUAUGUUGGGCUUUCUUCAGUGAGUCAUUAUUUUACUCAGAAUAACUUACUCAACUUGAAAUGAUUCAUCUCCACCAAAAGAUAAUGAUAAUAUCAAAUAUAAUCACAUUAGCCUAGCAUUUUGGAAUUCUUGUGAAAAAAACUAUAAACAUGGCAUUGUGAACUUGGCUGUUAAGAAUAUAUUCAUUUUAGUUAUCAGCUUGGAACUCACCUCCUAAAAUUAUAUAUACAUAAAGUUUCUGCUGGGGAAAGUGUACCCAUUUUGAAAUGUUUCAUUUAUUUGAAAAUACUAUGGUUCUUUUUUUUUUUAAUCACUUAAGUCUGCAAUUUCACAUUUCAAGUGAACAGAGCUGCAAAUAAAACUUUUUUUAACCAAUUGAAAUGUAUUUAGUUUGUCUGUUUUCUCUUUAAGGGCCAUACAUGUAGCAUAUGGAAGUUCC